rnacentral:tRNA from 1 species
GGGCUUGUGGCGCAACGAUAACGCGUCUGAUUACGGAUCAGAACAUUCCAUGUUCGAAUCCUGGCAAGCUCA